ACUCCUACGGGAGGCAUCAGUGGGGAAUAUUGCACAAUGGGCGCAAGCCUGAUGCAGCCAUGCCGCGUGUGUGAAGAAGGCCUUCGGGUUGUAAAGCACUUUCAGUCGUGAGGAAGGUAGUGUAGUUAAUAGCUGCAGUAUUUGUACGUUAGCGACAGAAGAAGCACCGGCUAACUCCGUGCCAGCAGCCGCGGUAAUACGGAGGGUGCGAGCGUUAAUCGGAAUUACUGGGCGUAAAGCGCAUGCAGGUGGUUGUUAAGUCAGAUGUGAAAGCCCGGGGCUCAACCUCGGAAUAGCAUUUGAAACUGGCAGACUAGAGUACUGUAGAGGGGGUAGAAUUUCAGGUGUAGCGGUGAAAUGCGUAGAGAUCUGAAGGAAUACCGGUGGCGAAGGCGGCCCCUGGACAGAUACUGACACUCAGAUGCGAAAGCGUGGGAGCAAACAGGAUUAGAUA
rnacentral:rRNA from 1 species